UACGUAGGUGGCAAGCGUUGUCCGGAUUUACUGGGCGUAAAGAGCGCGCAGGCGGUCGUACAAGUCGCGUGUGAAAGCCCCCGGCUCAACUGGGGAGGGUCACGCGAUACUGUUCGACUCGAAGGCAGGAGAGGGAAGCAGAAUUCCCGGUGUAGUGGUGAAAUGCGUAGAUAUCGGGAGGAAUACCAGUGGCGAAGGCGGCUUCCUGGCCUGUUCUUGACGCUGAGGCGCGAAAGCGUGGGGAGCGAUCCGG
rnacentral:rRNA from 1 species